UACGUAGGGUGCGAGCGUUAAUCGGAAUUACUGGGCGUAAAGCGUGCGCAGGCGGUUAUGUAAGACAGAUGUGAAAUGCCCGGGCUUAACCUGGGAACUGCAUUUGUGACUGCAUGGCUAGAGUGUGUCAGGAGGGGGUAGAAUUCCACGUGUAGCAGUGAAAUGCGUAGAGAUGCGGAGGAACACCGAUGGCGAAGGCAGCCCCCCUGGGCCAACACUGACGCUCAGGCACGAAAGCGUGGGGAGCAAACAGG
rnacentral:rRNA from 1 species